rnacentral:rRNA from 1 species
AGGAGGUCGUCAUGAUCGAGUCGAAGCCAUGGGGUGACACGUGGUGGAUCGAGUCAUGAUUGCUGAUCUCGGUAGUAGUAGCCAUUACUCCAUCUGGAGGCCUGACGUGGAGAUGGGUUCCGUAUCCCUGUCGAUCAGAUACGGGUGACACGAUCCUAAGUCCGAUGUGUACGCCGUACCAUGGGGUCAUCCUCACAGGACGAUAGGGCUGACCGGUUAACAUCCCGGUGGUAUGAUGGGGUCUUGGUGACAUCCUUUCACAACGGUACAUGAACGAAGCACAUGGUGGGAGUCAUCCCGUCCUACCCCAGUCCCCCCAUGGCCAGUAGUACUUCAGGUCGUGCAUGGCCAUGAUGGAUCACAUGUCCCUUCGGUCAUCCAUGAAACCCGUUGUGUCCCCCCCCAUCCUGAUCGUACCACAACCGCAACAGGACUCCAAGGUGAUCAGCCUCUAGGCGGGAGAGACCAUGACUCAGGGAAGUCGGCAAACUAGCUCCGUAACCUCGGGAGAAGGAGUGGCUCUGAUCGAUCAGAACCGGCACGGACCGAGGGAUCCCGACUGUCUACUAACAACAUAGCGUCGUGCCAGUCGUCAUGGAUGCGUACACGACGUGAUUUCUGCCCAGUGCCAUGACCGUCACCAUGAAGAGGUUCAUCCAAGCCCUGGUAAACGGCGGGAGUAACUAUGACUCUCUUAAGGUAGCCAAAUGCCUCGUCGGGUAAUUUCCGACGUGCAUGAAUGGAUCAACGAGGAUCCCACUGUCCCAAGUCAUGCCUCCGUGAACCUACAGACCCGGGAACGGGCGGGUGUUGGUCGGCGGGGCAAGAAGACCCUUUUGAGCUUGACUCCAAUCCGAUCCUGGGGGAUGGGAUCAUCGGUGCAGCAUACAGGGGAGGCCGCUUCCAUGAGAUACCCUGACGUUGUUCACCAUCCCACUCACCGACUUACAUCGGCACACGGUCGGAUGGGGAGUUUGGCUGGGGCGGCGCGCCUGCUAGAUCACACCGCAGGCGUCCUAUGGUAAGCUCAGUGAGGUCGGAAACCUCACGUGGAGCAUAAGGGCAUAAGCUUACUUGACUAGUACCCCCUGUCCCGGUACUUGCCGUGAAAGCGUGGCCUAACGAUCCUUCAACCGCUCCGGUAAUCCGAGCGUGGAGGUGACAGAAAAGUUACCACAGGGAUAACUGGCUUGUGGCCGCCAAGCGCCCAUAGCGACGUGGCUUUUUGAUCCUUCGAUGUCGGCUCUUCCUACCGUCCGCAUGCAUCGGUGCGGAAGCGUCGGAUUGUUCACCCGUCUAAGGGAUCGUGAGCUGGGUUUAGACCGUCGUGAGACAGGUUAGUUUUAUCCUACCGACCAUCUCCAUGCGUCCAGUACGUCGGGUCAGUACGAGAGGAACACCCGUCGCGAGCCUCCGAUCUCCCGGUUGUUUGACUUGACAGUGCCGGUCUGUCGCGCUCGGGGGACUAGCACUGAACGCCUCUAAGUGUCCAUCCCACCUACUCGCAUGGGUUGAGGGGCUUCCCCUCGAUUCGCCCGGGUUGACGACCCUUUUCUCCGACCUACUGUACGGCGUGGAGCUUCUUGCGACCGCCUGAGGUUUGGUUCGGGUUGGCAUUCCCCCCGAG